UCGUGAUUUUACGAGCCCAAGCCGCCCAAGAGCCGAGUUGACGAGUGGUUCGGCCCUUUUGACAUCCCUAUUGCAGGCAUCGGGAGGCUUCAAAUUUCUCUGGAGAAGAGGAGGUUGUCAUCAUCAUCAUCGAUUUCAUAGGAGCGGUAUGGCCCUUCAGAGCCUUCCCCCUCUGAUGCAUUUUGGGGAGGUAGAAGUGCCUCUUCUCUACUACCCCAAUCCACUAGGUUUCUCCUCUCCCGCUUAUUUUUAGGCAGAGGUGGUACUUGUUCUUACUCCUAUUCUUGUCAGACUGAUCUUUGUAUGGAGCGGACCCUAUUGCUAGGGUUCUGCCUUAUUCUGUCGAAUACACUGAUAGACCUUUGGGGUUCGUAUUCUGGUGGGAAGUUCUAUCCUAGUGGUGAUUCUGCUGGUUGGCUUCCUUGCACGUAGGAUGUCAUAUCCAUACCCACUUUUCUUUCAAGAAGGUGUUCCACUAUUUCCAAUGCUCGCUCGAAUGGCCUCAGCCAUGAGGUGCAGGAAUUUCUUGAGCUGGAUAUGAUCUUUGAGGCAUCUGGAAGCCCUGAUGACCUCGGGCCUGCAUGAAAAAUUCACGUAUCACCACAUUCUGAGCAGCAAUGUCCCUCAUUCCGGCAACUAUUUUAGCCAUUCCUUCAGUGAGUGUUGUUGCCCUGUUGCCUCGGUGACGUCGGUGAUGGGGUCUCUGAUGCGUGACAUUAUUCCUGAUUACCUCUUCUUCAGAGGCAUCUCUGUGCCCUUCAAAAUUUGCAUUUUCA
rnacentral:lncRNA from 1 species